rnacentral:tRNA from 1 species
AAGGGUAUAGCUCAGUGGCAGAGUGUGUGCUUAGCAUACACAAGGUCCUGGGUUCAAUCCCCAGUACCUCCA